UACGUAGGUGGCAAGCGUUGUCCGGAUUUAUUGGGUUUAAAGGGUGCGUAGGCGGUCUUUUAAGUCAGUGCUGAAAUACUCCAGCUUAACUGGAGGGGUGGCAUUGAUACUGCGGAGCUUGAGUACAGAUGAGGUAGGCGGAAUUGACGGUGUAGCGGUGAAAUGCUUAGAUAUCGUCAAGAACACCUAUAGCGAAGGCAGCUUACUAGGCUGUAACUGACGCUGAGGCACGAAAGUGUGGGGAUCAAACAGG
rnacentral:rRNA from 1 species